rnacentral:rRNA from 1 species
GACCCGGCCCCCCCUCCUACGGGAGGCAGCAGCAGGGAAUCUUGCGCAAUGGGCGAAAGCCUGACGCAGCGACUCCGCGUGCGGGAAGAAGGCCUUCGGGUUGUAAACCGCUUUUCUGAGGGAAGAGAAAGGACGGUACCUCAGGAAUAAGCCUCGGCUAACUACGUGCCAGCAGCCGCGGUGAUACGUAGGAGGCAAGCGUUGUCCGGAUUUUCUGGGCGUAAAGGGCGUGUAGGCGGUACAGAAAGUCUUUGCUUAAAUAUCCCGGCUCAACUGGGAAAGUGGCAGAGAUACUUUUGAACUAGAGGGCAGUAGAGGAGAGCGGAAUUCCCGGUGUAGUGGUGGAAUGCGUAGAUAUCGGGAGGAACACCAGUGGCGAAAGCGGCUCUCUGGGCUGUACCUGACGCUGAGGCGCGAAAGCGUGGGUAGCAAACCGGAUUAGAUACCCUGGUAGUC